UACGUAGGUGGCGAGCGUUGUCCGGAUUUAUUGGGCGUAAAGCGCGCGCAGGUGGUGCGGUAAGUCUGUCGUGAAAUCUCCUGGCUCAACUGGGAGGGUGCGGUGGAGACUGCCGGACUGGAGGCACUCAGAGGCCGGUGGAAUUCCCGGUGUAGUGGUGAAAUGCGUAGAGAUCGGGAGGAACACCAGUGGCGAAGGCGGCCGGCUGGGGGUGACCUGACGCUGGGGCGCGAAAUCGUGGGGAGCGAACCGG
rnacentral:rRNA from 1 species